UACGGAGGGUGCAAACGUUGCUCGGAAUCAUUGGGCGUAAAGCGCACGUAGGCGGCGCAGCAAGUCGGGUGUGAAAGCCCUCGGCUUAACCGAGGAAGUGCAUUCGAAACUACUGGGCUUGAAUACUGGAGAGGAUCGCGGAAUUCCCGGUGUAGAGGUGAAAUUCGUAGAUAUCGGGAGGAACACCAGUGGCGAAGGCGGCGAUCUGGACAGAUAUUGACGCUGAGGAGCGAAAGCGUGGGGAGCAAACAGG
rnacentral:rRNA from 1 species